GCCCCGGGGGCCCCCCCACCGGCCGGGCCACCUGCGUCACGCCCAUGCGGCCGCGCCCGCCCGAGCCGGGAAGCGGGGAGGGCGCCUCCGCCUGGGGAAGGGCGCGUCCGGGCCGUCGCGGGGCCGUCUGUGGGCUGAGCCGCCGCGCGGGGGAUGCAGCUGAGCUGAGAGCCUGCGCCCGCGGACCCGACAGCCCGCGAUCCCUGAGAUCCCGGACCUUCCCCGGCGGUGAGCGGAGUGGGACGUGCGGCCGGCAGGAUGACCAACCCGGCGGCCACGCAGAACAAGGAAAUAGACUGCCUGAGCCCAGAAGCUCAGAAGCUGGCGGAGGCCAGGCUGGCAGCGAAGCGUGCGGCCCGCGCAGAGGCCCGAGAGAUCAGGAUGAAGGAGCUGGAGCGGCAGCAGAAGGAGAUCUAUCAGGUCCAAAAGAAAUAUUAUGGGCUGUAUACGAAAUGGGGUGACAUCGAGCAGUGGAUGGAAGACAGUGAGCGCUGCUCGCGCAGAUCCAGAAGGAACACCUCGGCUUCUGAUGAAGAUGAGCGCAUGUCAGUGGGUAGUCGCGGAAGCCUGAGGUCGCAGCCUGACCUGGAGUCUGGGGGUCCCUACGGCUGGACAAAUGGUUACGAUGGAGAGUUAUACGGAUCGCAGCCCUCGAGCAGAAGAUCUGGCAGGAACUCCACCUACAGCGGUGAUGGCAGAUCCUCUACCGUGUCCUCAUCCAGAGAGGAGAAGUUGGGGCCGUCCUGCCCUGACCUUGGCCUGGCCCGCAGCGGCCUCGCACCCCAAGUCCUGUUCGCCCAGAGUGGAAGCCGGCCCUCCAGUCUGCACAGCGCUGUCCGGCCAGCGGGGAGUUACCGGGGGUCUGUGUUCGGUGACAGCAGUCUCGGUGGGGCCCAGCGGGGAAGCGCCUCUGGUUCCUGUGCUCCCUCGGAGCACAGCGGCCACCUCAACUCCAGCUCCCGCGCCUCCUCCAGAGCCAGCUCGGCGCGGGCCAGCCCAGUGGUUGAAGAGAGACCAGAAAAAGAUUUCACCGAGAAGGGGUCUCGCAGCCUGGCCGGCCUGUCUGCAGCCACACUGGCCUCGCUGGGCGGCACCUCCUCCCGGAGGGGGAGCGGGGACACCUCCAUCUCCAUCGACACGGAGGCGUCCAUUAGGGAGAUCAAGGAGCUCAGUGAGUUAAAGGACCAGAUUCAGGAUGUGGAAGGCAAAUAUAUGCAGGGGCUGAAAGAGAUGAAGGACUCGCUGGCGGAAGUGGAAGAGAAGUAUAAGAAGGCGAUGGUUUCCAACGCCCAGCUGGACAACGAGAAGAUGAACUACAUGUACCAGGUCGAUACCCUGAAGGACACGCUCCUGGAGCUGGAGGAACAGCUGGCGGAGUCUCGGCGGCAGUAUGAGGAGAAAAGCAAAGAGUUCGAGCGGGAGAAGCACACGCACAGCCUGCUGCAGUUCCAGUUCGCCCAGGUGAAAGCCGCGCUGCAGCAGAGGGAGGAGAUGCUCGAGGAAAUCCGACAGCUGCAGCAGAAACAGGCGAGUUAUAUCAGGGAGAUUUCUGAUCUUCAGGAGACGAUAGAGUGGAAAGACAAAAAGAUAGGGGCCUUAGAGAGGCAGAAAGAGUUCUUUGAUUCCAUCAGGAGUGAACGAGAUGACCUUAGAGAAGAAGUAGUCGUGCUGAAAGAGGAGCUAAAGAAACAUGGAAUAAUCCUAAAUUCAGAAACGGCUACCAAUGGAGAGACUUCAGACACCCUAAAUAGCGUUGGAUAUCCAGGUCCUACCAAGAUGACAAAAGAAGAGCUGAAUGCCCUCAAGGCGACGGGGGACGGGACCCUCGGAAAAGCCACUGCAGUGGAGGUGAAAAAUGAAAUUGUGGAGAAGGUGGGGAAAAGAGAAAUCUUGCAAAAUACUGAGCAGGAACAGCACAAAGAGGAGCCCGUACAGGAUUGUGUGGACACUGAGGUCUUGCCUCCUGGUGACACUGCCGAGAAACGGAAAGCCUCUGAAGAUAGUGCCCCCUCCCGAGGAACAUUAGCUACAAAUGAGGGGCAGGUUCAAAGCCCAGGGCUAGAGAGCACAUCCUUCCUUGAACAUGCAGAGCAGGUUGAGUCCAGGGAGCUCACAAGCACCCCAGAUGCUAAGAGCUCAAGUGAACCAGAUGGUGAAACCCUGGGUCCUGUGAUUGGGCAGGGCAGCCGGAAUGCCUUGGAUAUCAAAAACCAAAGCGAAGAAGCUGCAGAAAAACAGGAACAAGAAGAGCAAGCUUUUCAGACCAGUUUGGGAGAGGUUAGCACAAAACCACACCAGGAACCUGCUCCUGUGCAAAUACCUGAAGUUGAAAAGGAGAGCAGCUUCCAGGGUGCGGUGGAGGCAGGGCUAGCUGGGUUGGAGGAGCAAGCGGGCACAGUGGCCUCACGUCCUCCAAGGUAUAGCAAUGACACAGUGAAUCAUGUCACAUGUGCGGUCGAUGUCCCCAAGGAGUUGGGCCCAAGGUCAGAGAAAGAGCUCACCAACCAGGAAGGGGCUGAGCCCAGGGAGGUCCCAGUUCCAAGCACGGGAGCAGCGGGGGAGCACAGUGAGGAAGAGGACGAGGGGAGAGGGUUCCUGAGUGAGAAACCAGUCCAGACAGAAGUCCCGGCCAGUCCCUCUUCUCCAGAAGCCAGUGCUCAGGAGGCAGCAGGUACACAUACAGUAAAGGCCAAGAGAGAACCCAGUGAAGAAAAGAACGACCCACAGGGGGAGGGGUUGGAUUCAUCCCCAAAGAAGACAAAAAACAAGAAAAGGAAAAACAAGAAGAAAAAGUCCCCGGCACCUGUAGAGACCCCUCAGGAUGUUAAGGAAGAGUUAACCUUUCAGAACCCAGAUCUAAGUGAAGUUAAGGAAGAAAAGCAGGUAAACUCUCCUGAUGAAAAAUCAGGUGUGGACACACAAAAUGAGGUCACUGGAAAUCACAAACAGAACACUGUGGCCGGAAGCAGUGAAAGCCCGGGCUUUCCAGAAGACCCUAAGAUGGAGUUGGUUGGAAAACUGAACCACGAAGAUGGUGAUGUCAACACCGAGGUGGGGAAAGGAAGAGCUGAUGGAGAACCAUUACUGUUGGAAGGCGAUACCAUUCAGGCCUCAGGCUCCAGAGCCAGUGCUGAGGCGUCAGAGGAAGGAGCUGCAAAAACUAACACUGAAGGAGCUGGAGCUGCUCCCAGCCGUCCCCCAGAGAAUGAAGAGGUGCCUGGCAGUGCCCGGCUCGGAAGUGAAAGUCCCUCUGAGGACAUUAACGCUGCCUCUCAAACAGAAGGCACAGAGGGCUGUGUGGUGUCCGAGUGUCCAAGCCAGAGCGUCAGGAAGGUUUUAGGUAGCAUUAGUCUAGAAAACGAUGACUCGGCACCAACAGGAGAGUCAGGGGACUCCCAUUCAGAGUGCAAAGAAGAGACGAGGGGCAGAAGCGAGAAGGACAAAAGCAAAGAAGACUGCGCGUUGUCAUAGGCUGAGGCUUGCUUGACAGGCGGAGUCAGAGAGGGGCCAGGACACCACAGUGAGUCCAAGCAACAGACUCUUGUCCGUUAGCUCUGCUGGUGAGAUGUUCUAGAUGGAGGUAGACAUGUAUGACAAUCAGCCACCGUGUUAUCUACUACUCUAAGUUAUAGACUGUUACUUGUAGAUUUAUAUUUUAUUAGGGUUAUCACCCAGAUUAGAAAGAAAGACACAUUCGUUAUCAUGUUAAGUUUUAACUGAGAGCAUUCCAGUACUAUCAAACAAUAACAUACACUGUUUAUAUUUCUGCCUAUAAUCAAAAUAAACACAGUUCAUGCCUGCCUUAGGCUGAUAUGAAUGUGGAUAUUCUUGACCAAAUAUAUCAGCAUCUAAUUAAAAUGACCACAUAGCAUUCUAGGAUUCCUACAUCAUGAGUAAAUUAACUUGUCUCAUUCAAAUAUACGUGCUUUCAUAUUUGCUUUUGAUAUGUACAUGAUAACCUGCAUGGUAUUUUAUUUAAAAAGGAGAUCAAUGGCCAAACAUCACACAGGUCCCUGAGUGAUGAGAUUUGCGCCUUAGGACAAUAGCUCAUCACUUUAGGGAUAAUGAACCUCUUCAAGUCCUGGGAGUUGUUAUUUGCCUUUACCUCAUCUAAGGAUUUUAUCUCAGCUAAUGCUGUGGAGUUCACUGUUCAUGAUACCUGAGCUUAUUUUAUAGAUUUUUUCUCUUUUUUUUUUAAUUUAAUACAUUUUAAUUAAAGAAAUUAAGUGGGUGGGAAGGAUGGAGUGGGGGGGGGGAGAGAGAAACAUCGAUGUGAAAGAGACACAUCAAUGGUUGCCUCCCACACGCACCCCAGCCAGGGCAGGGGAUCAAACUUGCAACCCAGGUACGUGCCCUUGACCAGUAAUGGAACCUGCACCCUUUGGUGUGAUGGCUGACAUUCUAACCACUGAGCAACACUGGCCAGAUCUUAUUUUAUAGAUGUUUACUUCACUUCAUGCCAAUUAUUUAUCCAAGUCGUUUUACACAAAGAUUUUUUAAAUUAUUUUCUGGAAGAGAUGUUAUGUUGAAAUUGCAUUUUCUAUACAAUAUCAGGGUGGGGCGAAUCAUUUCUAAAAAUUUUUAACCUUAAGAUUACUUCUCUUUCUGUUUGUCUAAUCAUUAUUCAGAAGACCAAUAGAAAAGAGUACUGUUCUUCAGCAAACUGCGAAUUAGACUAUGACAGGAUAUUUUCAAUAGCUGAAUCGCUUUUGGUAUUUUAGUAUAAAUGUUUGCAUUUGUUUGUCUCCGUAUAGUCUUAUUGGAAAAUUCUUGUUCUGGUCUUCCUGAAAAAUAUAUAUAUAUUUCCUAUAUAAAAGAUAAUUUUUUAAAUAAUUGUAACAUGAAAUUGAAAAAUAAUUGUAAUGAACAUUAUGAAUGCUGUUAACACUUUAUGAGAGUCUAUGACUUCAUCGUACUGUUACAAGAUGUAAUUGAGUGCAGAAAAGACCAAAGCCUCAAUAAAAUGUGAGGCCAGCUUGUUAUCAUGUAUUGAUAUUUGAAAUAAAGACAUUUUUCUAGUUUUA